AGAGUUUGAUCCUGGCUCAGAUUGAACGCUGGCGGAAUGCUUUACACAUGCAAGUCGAGCGGCAGCGCGGGGGCAACCCUGGCGGCGAGCGGCGAACGGGUGAGUAAUGUAUCGGAACGUACCCAGUCGUGGGGGAUAACUAUCCGAAAGGAUAGCUAAUACCGCAUACGACCUGAGGGUGAAAGCGGGGGACCGCAAGGCCUCGCGCGAUUGGAGCGGCCGAUAUCGGAUUAGCUAGUUGGUGAGGUAAAGGCUCACCAAGGCGACGAUCCGUAGCUGGUCUGAGAGGACGACCAGCCACACUGGAACUGAGACACGGUCCAGACUCCUACGGGAGGCAGCAGUGGGGAAUUUUGGACAAUGGGGGCAACCCUGAUCCAGCCAUUCCGCGUGAGUGAAGAAGGGCUUCGGGUUGUAAAGCUCUUUCAGCAGGAACGAAACGGCUCUCUCUAACAUAGGGAGUUAAUGACGGUACCU
rnacentral:rRNA from 1 species